rnacentral:rRNA from 1 species
GACGAACGCUGGCGGCGUGCCUAAUACAUGCAAGUCGAGCGAAUCUUUAGGAGCUUGCUCCUAAAGGUUAGCGGCGGACGGGUGAGUAACACGUGGGCAACCUGCCUAUAAGACUGGGAUAACUUCGGGAAACCGGAGCUAAUACCGGAUAAUUCCUUUCCUCUCAUGAGGAAAGGCUGAAAGACGGUUUCGGCUGUCACUUAUAGAUGGGCCCGCGGCGCAUUAGCUAAUUGGUGAGGUAACGGCUCACCAAGGCAACGAUGCGUAGCCGACCUGAGAGGGUGAUCGGCCACACUGGGACUGAGACACGGCCCAGACUCCUACGGGAGGCAGCAGUAGGGAAUCUUCCGCAAUGGACGAAAGUCUGACGGAGCAACGCCGCGUGAGUGAUGAAGGUUUUCGGAUCGUAAAACUCUGUUGUUAGGGAAGAACAAGUACGAGAGUAGCUGCUCGUACCUUGACGGUACCUAACCAGAAAGCCACGGCUAACUACGUGCCAGCCGCCGCCGUAACAC